AAGGUGGGUAGUAGAGUUUUUAUAACGUGGUGUGAUUUCUUGGGUACUUAUAUUGCUACACUCCAUCUUAUGCUUAGAUGUUUAUAUGUUAUUAUGCGUUGGGUAAAAAUGCUAAAGUGACAAAAUCUACCUCUACAUAAUCUGGAUUCUUUAGUUUGAUCAAUAUAUGUAUUUCCUUCCCCCAUCAUUUUUGACAUGAAGCAUUUGAUGAAGCUUUGCAAUAGUCAAGAUCCGACUAUGGUUAAUGCAGCUCUGUAUUUUCCCAAAUUCAUGUUUGACUUUACUUUCAUUGAUUCUGGUAUUAAAUAACACCAAAAUUGUUUCCCACACCAUGCGUUUAAGAUCAUCCAAUGUUUUUCUUGUGUAAUCUUCAUAAAUGUAAUCUUCAUAAAUGGUUACUUGCCAUUGGUGCUGGAUGAAGCAGGUUAGAAGAUGUCUUUUAACUCUGAAAUUUAUCUUAGUUUGACUUUGACAUGAUGAAAUUGUUUAUAUCCCAUGAAAAGGUGAAUAUUAACCUUUAAAUUAUUAUAUUCCUAAAAUAUCCUUUGGCGUUGCUUCAUUUAGAAGCAGUUACUACACACUACUACUUCAAUGUUCAUUAACAUGAGUAAGCCUAAGAAUCUAGGAUGUUUCAAAUCUCAUGUGGUCAAUGUGAUGCAACUUUAGGGUCUGCUUCAAAAUGCUCACAACAGGUAUCAACCAUGAUGCCGUUUUUUUUUUUCUAAAAAGUAAAGGUGAUAUCAAAAGGUAAGAAGAUAAAAAUACGAUCAUGCACAAUUGAGAGAAAAAAGGAGAAACAACAAAGCAUAUCAAAUUGAGAUUUGAGCUUUGUAACUCAAUAGUGUAAUCAAGAACUCUGUGUUUAUUAUUAAGAUUCAAUCAGUAGUGUACAAAACAACAAACAUAUUAAAAAAAAGGAUUGACCUUUGUAACUCAAUAAUGUAUUGUAAUCAAUCAAAAUUCAUUUAUUCUGGAGUUGCAGGAUGCAUGAGUUCAUGAAAACUAAAACCUGAAUAUCCUCAUCUGAUUUGAUAUCUGUGCUUUGAAAUCAUACAUUAAAUCCCUCAGAACGAAGGCACAAACGAUGAGCUUCAAUCCAUUUUGAGCAAGCUGAUUCACCAUGCUCCACAACACAUUCGUCCCUGAGCUUCUUAGUGUCAGGGCAAGCACAGCAGAUUUUCUUCUUUGGCUUUGACUCAGGUCCUGUCGUAGCAUCUUUUGGUGCUUUUGUUAA